UACGAAGGGGGGCUAGCGUUGCUCGGAAUCACUGGGCGUAAAGCGCACGUAGGCGGCUUUCUAAGUCAGGGGUGAAAUCCUGGAGCUCAACUCCAGAACUGCCUUUGAUACUGGAAAGCUUGAGUUCGGGAGAGGUGAGUGGAACUGCGAGUGUAGAGGUGAAAUUCGUAGAUAUUCGCAAGAACACCAGUGGCGAAGGCGGCUCACUGGUCCGGUACUGACGCUGAGGUGCGAAAGCGUGGGGAGCAAACAGG
rnacentral:rRNA from 1 species